rnacentral:pre_miRNA from 1 species
GUUUUAGUGUAAGUAUGCACCAUGCAAUAUUUGGGACAUAUUUAUGCUAAAA